AUCCAGCUGGCCAGUCCCAUAUAGAACGAAACGUACAUCCUGGAU
rnacentral:hammerhead_ribozyme from 1 species